rnacentral:rRNA from 1 species
AACGAACGCUGGCGGCAGGCUUAACACAUGCAAGUCGAACGGGCGUAGCAAUACGUCAGUGGCAGACGGGUGAGUAACACGUGGGAACCUUCCUAGGGGUACGGAACAACUCAGGGAAACUUGAGCUAAUACCGUAUACGUCCGAGAGGAGAAAGAUUUAUCGCCCUUAGACGGGCCCGCGUCGGAUUAGGUAGUUGGUGGGGUAACGGCCUACCAAGCCGACGAUCCGUAGCUGAUCUGAGAGGAUGAUCAGCCACACUGGGACUGAGACACGGCCCAGACUCCUACGGGUGGCAGCAGUGGGGAAUCUUGGACAAUGGGCGCAAGCCUGAACCAGCCAUGCCGCGUGAGUUAAGAAGGCCUUAGGUUUGUAAAGCUCUUUUGGCAGGGACGAUAAUGACGGUACCUGCAGAAUAAGCCCCGGCAAACUUCGUGCCAGCCGCCGCGGUAAAAC